GAUGAAGAACGUAGCGAAAUGCGAUAAGUAAUGUGAAUUGCAGAAUUCAGUGAAUCAUCGAAUCUUUGAACGCACAUUGCGCCCGCCAGUAUUCUGGCGGGCAUGCCUGUCUGGGCGUCAUUUCAACCCUCAUGCCCCUAGGGCGUGGUGUUGGGGAUCGGCCAAAGCCCGCGAGGGACGGCCGGCCCCUAAAUCUAGUGGCGGACCCGUCGUGGCCUCCUCUGCGAAGUAGUGAUAUUCCGCAUCGGAGAGCGACGAGCCCCUGCCGUUAAACCCCCAACUUUCCAAGGUUGACCUCAGAUCAGGUAGGAAUACCCGCUGAACUUAAGCAUAUCAAUAAGCGGAGGA
rnacentral:misc_RNA from 1 species